CUACGGGAGGCAGCAGUGGGGAAUCUUGGGCAAUGGCCGAAAGGCUGACCCAGCGACGCCGCGUGUGGGAGGACGCCCUUCGGGGUGUAAACCACUGUCAGGGGGGACGAACGACGGGGCGGUGAAUAUCCGUUUCGUGUGACGGUACCUCCAGAGGAAGCGCCGGCUAACUCUGUGCCAGCAGCCGCGGUAAGACAGAGGGCGCGAGCGUUGUUCGGAAUCAUUGGGCGUAAAGCGCGCGCAGGCGGGUGCGCAAGUCGGGAGUGAAAUUCCGGGGCUCAACCCCGGCGCGGCUUCCGAAACUGCGUGUCUAGGGACCGGUAGGGGCCGGUGGAAUUCCCGGUGUAGCGGUGGAAUUCGUAGAGAUCGGGAAGAACACCUGUGGCGAAGGCGGCCGGCUGGGCCGGAUCCGACGCUGAGGCGCGUAAGCGUGGGGAGCAAACAGGAUUAGAUACCCCGGU
rnacentral:rRNA from 1 species